rnacentral:rRNA from 1 species
AGUGAACGCUGGCGGCGUGCCUAAUACAUGCAAGUCGAACGGAGUGGCGCACGGGUGCGUAAUGUAUAGCUAAUCUGCCCCACACUAGCGGACAACAGUUUGAAACGACUGCUAAUACUCCAUAGUGUAGGAUGAGGCUAUAUUGUAUCAGCUAGUUGGUGAGGUAAGGGCUCACCAAGGCUAUGCCGCAUAACUGGUCUGAGAGGGUGAUCAGUCACACUGGGACUGGGACACGGUCCGGACUCCUACGGGAGGCAGCAGUGAGGGAUAUUGCUCAAUGGGGGAAGCCCUGAAGCAGCAACGCCGCGUGGGGGAUGACACUUUUCGAAGCGUAAACUACUUUUGUUAGGGAAGCGGUACCUAACGAGUAAGCACCGGCUAACUCCGUGCCAGCCGCCGCGGUAAUAC